AUUGAACGCUGGCGGCAGGCCUAACAUAUGCAAGUCGAGCGGAGCGGCGGACGGGUGAGAAAUGCCUAGGAAUCUUCCUGGUCGUGGGGGAUAACGUCCGGCAACGGGCGCUAAUACCGCAUACUAUCAGAUGAGCCUCGGUCGGAUUAGCUGGUUGGUGGGGUAAAGGCCUACCAAGGCGACGAUCCGUAACUGGUCUGCGAGGAUGACCAGUCACACUGGAACGGAGACACGGUCCAGACUCCUACGGGAGGCAGCAGUGGGGAAUAUUGGAGAAUGGGCGAAAGCCUGAUCCAGCCAUGCCGCGUGUGUGAAGAAGGUCUUCGGAUUGUAAAGCACUUUAAGUUGGGAGGCGUUACCAACAGAAUAAGCACCGGCUAACUUCGUGCCAGCAGCCGCGGUAAUAC
rnacentral:rRNA from 1 species